GAGGGUAUAGCUCAGUGGUAGAGUGCAUGCUUAGCAUGCCCAAGGUCCUGGAUUCAAUCCCCAGUACUUCCA
rnacentral:tRNA from 1 species